UUUAUGACAUGUGUAUUAAAUAACUGCGUUUUGAUUUAUGACACCUCGUCGUGCUGUAAUUAUCCAUGUUAGACAAAUGUAAGGUGGUUUAGAAAUGCAACGAUGGAAGGAAUGAGCAGCCUGUCGCCGGGCAUUUUAACUGUGAGUCCAAUCAAUCGGGGAAGAGGCAGAAACGAACAGUGCUGUACGUGAUCCCAAAACGGUAAAAUGUGAUGAGCGCUGCAUGAGUCACUAUUACUGGAGCCUUGUCAGAGGCUCCAGACAAUGUUUGGUGAGUAAGACUAAUAAUAGGGCUGAACAACACGCAGGCAAGUGAGAUCAGGUUACAGGUGGAGGAGAAAGUUCACCUGGGCAAUUAUGUCAUCAGUGCCUGUGAUUACAUGCAUGCAAGAUCCUGUUGAAGGUGAACGGCUUAUGUGAAGAUCAAACCACCGUGUUAACAUGGAUUUCAACCGUUGGUGCCGUUUCCAGUGUAAGAUGACGUUUGAAACUUUGAACAACUGCCUGUUGCGGACUCUGGCGUCAGCUCGUGCCGCCUCUGCCUCAAUCAAACACAAGCCUGGCGUUAAUCUUCUUAUGGAAGUCUUGGGCUGAAAAUGCAGAACGAGAACUAUUUUUUUGAUUUGGUCCAAAUCGCCACAUGUCAAGAGGCAACACAACCCUAUGACAGAGGCACACAACAGUCUGUGUCAUCAUUUCUAACGCUAAGCUCCAAAUGAAGACAAGUAACACAAAGCUUUACUCCUUCGUAGAUGCAGCGAAUGUUUAAAGGGCUUUUAUGUCCAGUCAAUCCCGUCCCACCAUCUGGUAAUAUACAUAUAUUUAUACGCAUAUAUUUAUCAAAGAGCUCUAAUUUUGUCAGAUAACAUAUACAGGCAGAAGGAAAGCUCCCGUGGGGGACAGGGGCCCCUCUUUAAUUCUAUUCCUCUGUGCGCACACACUCGCACAAACACACACAUCACUCCAAGACACAAGCAGUUAGUGGAUACCACAGAGGGUUGUUCCUACGGAUUCAAAGCUGCCCCGAAGGCGAGAGGCACAUGAUGGAUCAGACAUUGAUUUGAUUUGAAGUGAGUGCGAAGGCCGCCGCGCGUGCCCUCUGCCAGAGAGGUGAACCAUGAUUGAGCAAUGGCUGUCUGGAGGGUUCACUCAGGAAACUGUAAGUGGACAGGCCGGACCUGCUGCUAACAAUCGCCUUUUGUACAAAUCGGCUGGAAAUGAAUUGUUGAUUCAGAGGGCUGACAGAGAGGGCGAGAGAGGGAGGGAGAGAGAGAGAGAGAGAGAGGGGGGCCCGGUUGCCAGCACCUCAUGUGUAUCAAUAAUAAAGCAGUUUUCCAUGGUGCUUCUCAAACACGCCAUGACUCACGUGUUGGGGGGGGGGGACGCGCCCACCCUCACCGCCCACCCACCCGCUACCUGAGAUUCUCCUGUUUACCCAUAAUACAAUUCUGGUGCCGGCUGGGCGAUCUGUCAGAAAGCGUCUCCACCUACACAACGUGAUGAAUCACAACUUCAGAGUGAAAUCAAACUCCGUCUCCCAAACAGCGGCGAGCAGUUAAAAAAAAAAAAAAGAGAGAGCGAGAGAGAGACACAGAACUGUAGCCACCGCGGCUCGAGAUGCUGCCUCUCUGCUGCCUGCCUGUCGUCUCACAUAAAAGCGCCGCAGACAAAUUGGGCCGGUAACAUGCUGGAUGCAGUGGGAGAGGAAUACAAAGGGUUUCUCAGCGGAAUAAAUGAAAGCGCCGGAGGUAGAAGUAUACGUGUAACACGCACAAUGGCCCCAGUCAGUGUUAUGUAAGCUGAGCUCUAGAUAUUUAUUAGGCCUCAAUAAAAUACGUCAAUUACAGGACAUUUCACGUUUUACUGAUAAGAGUGGGUCCCAAUGACAGAGUUCGUGUAAGUUUUGGGGAAGUGAUGGAAGCGGAGUCAUGCGGCAGAACACUGACGACACCGGUCAGACAAAGAGGUCGACGACAGGGAAACAGAAGUCUCUAUUAUGAGGAAAGAAACUUGGGUGGGUGAAUAAUAUGAUGAUAAACUACAGGGAAAUAAUGUGUGUCUGUGUCACAGGCUUUAGUGUGUUUGACCUGAGCUGCUUAUUUUUUUUAUUUCUGGACAGUUCACGACUUUUCUCAGUCUUCUCCCCCUCCUCCCCCCACCCUCACCCCUCAGGUGCGUUCUGCACCCGCUCCCCGGCUGACCUGAGUGUCAGCGUGUGACUGAGGCUGCAGUAAAAACACCAGCAGCUAAAAUCCCCCUUAAUAUCACUAUUACAGUAAACAUGCAGCGCUACGUUUGUCAAAGUGGUUGUUUACAAAGUGUUAACAUGAAUCUUUGGGUAAGUUUUGCUGUUGUUCCUCUCUGCUGCCUCAUCCAGUUCUAAAUUAAUUCAUGAACUACUUCAGGAAAGCCCCCGUAAGUUCACAGGAAGCGACGGCGCUGUGCGCACGUCUGACAUAAACACAAAAGGACCGAAACAGAAAUCAACAUGGAUAGAAGACGCGCUUGGUUCUAUCCCCGCGGUUUUGACUGACAGGUGACUUUUGGGAACGGAGCGGAUGCGAACGUCCCAAGGGAUCCGAGCUAAAGAAGAAGUGGAGGUUUGGUGGGCAGACGUGUGGAGGAAGUGGCCCAACGUAAACAGCUGGGCGCGCGCACACACACACACACACACACACACACACACACACACACACACACACACACACACACACACACACACACACACACACACACACACACACACACCGCUCUCACUGUCAUACAGAUGUUAUUGAUGAUAACCCAGGAGCUUUGUUGACACUGCUGAUAAUGGCCCCUUCUGCCGGCUGCCUCGUGGCUCUCCUCUCCGGCCAUCAAAGCAAAUAUCCAAGUGUCUCGCUGCUUGACAAAUAGUAACCAGUCUAAACGCUGCGAGUUCAUGGGAGCUUGUUUCCACCUGAGGCCUGAAAAACGUUACGUGUGCGUUUCCUGAAUGGGAGCGUCAGAUCACGCGUGGCGGCUCGCUCACUUGUCAAGGCCUGAUAAUAAUUCAUUAAUGGAUGCUUCCUGCCCCGCUGUUUGGAGCCCAGUGUUUUGAUCAUCAUAUCCUGGUGAAUUUGAAUGGAGACCACGCGUCUGUGCCGUUUGUAGAGAACACAGUUGUCUGGCAGAUGUCGGACUAAAAACAGCACCUGCUGUAUCCUGAUCAAUAUCCUUCCUGUGGGAAUAAAGUGUUAUUGGUACGCGGGCAGAGCGACCCGGCGUCUAUUUCCUGUCAUAAACAACUCCACAGCACGAGCCUGCUAAAUAAUCAAAAAGCCCAAAGAGCGGAUGUUGGUCUUGGCACGGCCAAUCCAGAUGUUUUAUUUACACCAAAAACACAAUAAUCCUCACAGAUUUGGGCCAGCGGGGGGUCGGAAAGGCAGCACUCGGUAUCAGUGGGAGGAUCUGGAGUCCCCUCGCAGUCUUUAGAAAAGAAAAGAAUUCAAUUGUGUUGAGAAAAUAGAGCCAAAGGCUGGCGCGCACAAAGGGCCGCGGGUCCAAAGCGAGCGCCUGUAGGAUUCAUCCUAAGAGCCGGGCUCCAGGAGGAAACGCUGUCGCAGGAACGAGGAGGCGCUGCUGAGUUUAACCGCAAAUCCUUGUAUUCUGGUCUGUUCCAGAGGCGCGCUCGCAGUCUGACGCUACACAAGCAUGGAGGGAAACGAUGCGCGGCGCCCUACGAUGGACAUAAUGCACGUUUCAAUGUGACUGUAGCUGCUUCAGCGCCAGGCUGCCACCGUAGACGGUGUCAUCUUUCAGACGAGGAGGCACCACGGGGGCAGUAAAGCAUCCCUCUGGCCACAGCUGAUAGAUGUCCCUCCACUCCAGCUUUGUUCUGCUCCGGCGCUGGACACUUGUCCCCGUCAGUCCAGCGCCGGAGCCUUCGCAGCGUCCCGCCGUGUCCCAGGAACGAGCCGAGGUUCAAACACACAAAUCCGGCUCAUCAGUUUUCCAUCACGCUUUCUGAAUAAUAAAUGAGGCCUGUGGUCUUGCGCUGAGUGCUGUUGUAAAUCAGCGCUAAAAGCAAAGUGCCACAGGCGGCCGGCGUUAAUGCACGCGGCCUCUCUGGAAAGGUCAAAAUGUGGGGUUUACUCCAACGAUCUGAUACAGAGACGUAAUAAAGUGUCGCCGUGUUCACGCCAAACCCCGUGAGACUGGACCGAAUGAGAAUGAGAAUGAGACACAACCGACGAGUGAGCACAAACAGAGCUAAAAGCUAAGAUGAAACGUCAGCGAUGUGGGUUUAAAGAAGCUGCUUCUGACAUGUAACGUAAGAGGCAACGGGCUGAUUUAUUUCCUCCCUCUGUCGUCUGGUCACUCGACUCUCGGGAGCUUAUCUGCCGUCAUCUGGACCAUUGUCCCCCCGUUAUCUGAGGUGAUCAGGGCUGAGCCCGGCUUCUGUCGGCCCCUCGCCUCUCCUCCAGCGGCCACGCGGGGCCAGAUGGGCGGCCUCCGCCUGCGGAGAGCCUGAAAGGACGCUGGCUGUGAUCUCCUGUCGUAUACGAAUGCAGCAGCGGGAGAGAGCGGCGGCGGGAGCGGCGGCAGCUCCGCGUCUGUCUUCGGGCCGAGCGCGUGAUUGUCGUGCAAACGACCACAUUCAGAGCCGGCCGAGCUGUUCCUGUGACGCACACAGUUGGAUGAACCUUCAUCAGGCGGCGGAGGACGUUUUAACAUGGUUGCGAGGCGCAAACCACAGUGGAGACGUUGGCGAGAAAGGAAAGGGAAACAAGCUUGCAUUUAUCUUGGACUCAUAGAAAACACCCUUCCUAUGCAACAACUGGUUCAUUUCUCAAGCAGCCUUGCGACUGUCUUUGGACCGGUGCCACGUGCAGACACAUACUUCUCCCAGCUCAGUGCUGGAGGGCAGUGUCACCCCGCUUCACAUUUUAUUGGUUCAUGGCCUGUUGUCUCAUUCUGCAGGGACUCCUUGUCAGGACAGGCAGCGGCAGGAUGCAGCAUAAUCAGCAUAAAAAUGUUCUGGAGUCAGCCCACCAACAUUGUCAGACUAGUGGCUGUUGUAAGUAUUCCAGCAAUAAAAAAGAAGAAUAAAUCAGUUUGGCCUCGUUGACGCCAAGACGCCUGAGUUAUGACCCUAAAAUAACUCCAGCUCAACAUAAGUCAGAAUGAUGAGUAUAUUUUAACCUGACGCGGAGAAAGUGAUUUUUCAGACUUGGAGCCAGAUCCACUGUGGGGAGUCCUCCAAACCCUCUUAUAAGUGGGUGGUGAGCGUCAAAUUGGAGCCUGGUUGUCAUUCCUCUCCUCCAGUGAGAAGUUACAACCUCAGAAUCCCUGCAGGGAAGUAAACUAAUGGAUCCAUCCUCCUUUUUAGCGCGGCUCUAAAUGUCACGCGCGCACAGUAUCAGCGAGUGUCUGCAGCGCCGUCGCUUAAAGGAACUCAAACGUGUUAUUUGGAGUGAUGUCCCCCCGCAAAUUAGGGAGCAUUUUAUUUUGAAAUCGCCGGGGAGCUGUGACCUUGAGCGGGGUCAACGCCAGCGUUUUCAUGAGCCUCGGUAACGCAUGCAGCCCUGCAGCAAAGUAGGAAGUUUAAGAGGGUGCCGUGCCCAGAUAAGGAGCACGCUUUGUCUUUAAAAUGACUCUAUUGUUCGUACGUUGGCUUUCUCCUGCACACGCACGCGUUUAAGCAAGCACAGCGGAAGCCUUAACAAAUAUUUUCAUGUGGAAAUAUGACUCCUAAUAUUUAUCCGCGCCAGCAUUGUGAAGAUGACGUUUCCACUGGUGCCGACUGCUGCCGUGCGUCAGUGGAACCCGGGGUCGCUGUCGAUGUCACAAUCGGAGGGCGGAGUCACGGACCGAGCGCCGCGAUCGGCGUCUGACUCCACGCGAUGAAGCAAUAGAAAACAUAAACACCCCGGCAGACGUGUGAGCGAUGGAUAGAUAGCGCAUACCAGAGCGCGGCACCAUCCACACGGCUCUGUGCACAAACAUGCAGCGACAUUCAGAUCACGCUGACUCAUCUGAAAACAGCCCCCACUUCAGCCUCCAGGAAAAUCACAAAGGCCGGGCGUUUCAUUAAGGGGGCGACGAGGCCGGCGUGAGCGACGGCGCGAGGGCCCUGAUGAGCAGACGACGCUCCCAGUGCACGACAUCAAAGUGCCAAUGAAUGGGAGCAGGACAAGCGCACAAAUACAGGCGAGACCACAACGCGCCAACAGGCACGAAGCGUAAGCGCUCAGCCGAAAUGCACAUAAACCACUUUUCAACGCUCAGACGGGAGAUUAAAGGCGUUUGUGCGCCAAACCUUUUGUGUAUUUAUGGGGAAACACCCAAAGUCUGCUUCGACAACAGAGACUGGAUGGUGCGUUGCACAUGAUAAUUAAAAGAAAUGGCAAAGGUGAGGAUGGUAUUGGAGCAGAUGUAUCAUUACGAACCACGACGUGGUGCCAACUUGCUGAAAGGGGCCGGUGUUGACUGAACAGCGCCGCUCAUUCUUCCCCUUUAUCUCCCCACCAUUCUUCUGCCUCAUUUCAAUAGGCAUUCUUCACUGAAGAGCCCCCUUCGCCGCCGUUCACACUCCUUGUGAUUUGUAUUCUAAGUGGCUCGCGGCUCCUUUGUAUGCCGCCACGAUAACAAUCUGAAUCCUGGCGCUGACAGUGGAGACGGCAGAUAUCCUGCCGGAGCAGCGCAGAGAUCUGAUUUAUUACCGGGACCCAGAUCUCCUUUGUUGAACUCCUACAAA